rnacentral:rRNA from 1 species
GAUGAACGCUGGCGGCGUGCCUAAUACAUGCAAGUCGAGCGAACAGAUGAGGAGCUUGCUCCUCUGACGUUAGCGGCGGACGGGUGAGUAACACGUGGAUAACCUACCUAUAAGACUGGGAUAACUACGGGAAACCGGAGCUAAUACCGGAUAAUAUAUUGAACCGCAUGGUUCAAUAGUGAAAGACGGUUUUGCUGUCACUUAUAGAUGGAUCCGCGCCGCAUUAGCUAGUUGGUAAGGUAACGGCUUACCAAGGCAACGAUGCGUAGCCGACCUGAGAGGGGAAUCGGCCACACGGAAACGAAGACACGGUCCGAACUCCUACGGGAGGCAGCGGUGGGAAAUCUUCCGCAAGGGGCGAAAGCCGGACGGAGCAACGCCGCGUAGUUGAUGAAGGUCUUCGAAUCGUAAAACUCUGUUAUUAGGAAAAAACAAAGGGGUAAGUAACUAUGCACGUCUUGACGGUACCUAAUCAGAAAGCCACGGCUAACUACUU